rnacentral:rRNA from 1 species
UAACGCGUGAAGGCGAGCACUCUAGGACGAACUGCCGUUGACAAAACGGAGGAAGGUGGGGAUGACGUCAAUCAUCAUGCCCCUUAUGUUCUGGGCUACACACGUGCUACAAUGGCCGGUACAGACGGAGGCGAAGCCGCGAGGCGGAGCAAAUCCGAAAAAGCCGGUCUCAGUUCGGAUUGCAGGCUGCAAUUCGCCUGCAUGAAGUCGGAAUCGCUAGUAAUCGCAGGUCAGCAUACUGCGGUGAAUACGGUUCCCGGGCCUU